UAACGGUCUCCUUCUCUCCCAUAG
rnacentral:piRNA from 1 species